rnacentral:rRNA from 1 species
GACGAACGCUGGCGGCGUGCUUAACACAUGCAAGUCGAGCGGAAAGGCCCUGCUUGCAGGGUACUCGAGUGGCGAACGGGUGAGUAACACGUGGGUGAUCUGCCCUGCACUUCGGGAUAAGCCUGGGAAACUGGGUCUAAUACCGGAUAGGAGCCAUUUUUAGUGUGAUGGUUGGAAAGUUUUUUCGGUGUAGGAUGAGCUCGCGGCCUAUCAGCUUGUUGGUGGGGUAAUGGCCUACCAAGGCGGCGACGGGUAGCCGGCCUGAGAGGGUGGACGGCCACAUUGGGACUGAGAUACGGCCCAGACUCCUACGGGAGGCAGCAGUGGGGAAUAUUGCACAAUGGGCGCAAGCCUGAUGCAGCGACGCCGCGGGGGGGAUGACGGCCUUCGGGUUGUAAACUCCUUUCGCUAGGGACGAAGCUUUUUGUGACGGUACCUAGAUAAGAAGCACCGGCUAACUACGUG